UCUAUAAGAAUUACAGUCAGUGCUUGG
rnacentral:sRNA from 1 species